rnacentral:lncRNA from 1 species
ACCUGGCAACCAAGGCACAAAUCGUAGAGAGAUAAAGCUGGCAACUAAUCUGUAUAAUCAUCUUCAAGGAAAGGCAAGAAAAUAGUGUGCAGCAGCAAAGCUUUACUUUUUUUAAGAAAGCAAAGCUUCAGCUAUUUCUUCAGCAAGGAACCAAAUUCAGAAAUCAAAGUCCAAACAGAGAAUAAAUGUUUCCCUAUAGAGCUUAUAGGCAAAGAGGUAAAAACAAGCAGAUCUAAAUACCAAAUGCUAAUGUAAUAUUGGUAUCCAUAAGCAGUAGCUUCAGAUCCUAAAAUUCAUCAGCACUGCAACCACAUAUUUUUCACUCUUCUGUCUAUUUCCCCUUUCAUAUCAUUCAACUCUUUGUUUAUUGGAUCUUCAUAAACACCAAAAAUCUCAAGGAUUUACAUGCACAUUAGAAAUUAAACUUGCCUUAGCAUUCUAUUUGUAAACUGCACCAAAAGAGAGAAGCCACAGGCAUCUAGGGCGAAGAUGAACUCGCACGUAUGUACACUGGGAAGCAUGCAUAUGAAAGUUAGAAGCAUACGUUUACCUAUGGUUGUAAUCACUAUGAAUAGAAUUAGCAACUACUAUUUAUUCGUUACUUGAAUGGAAUCAACAACGGCUUUCAUGCAUUGCAUAUACGACGGCUGGCCCUAUAUGCCUCCUCUACCUUAUCUCGUAACUACUACUAAUAAUUGUUGACUGGGCUCGGCUGCUGUCUAAACAAAGACAACUGCAUUCAAGCACAGGGCAGUACCUCCUAAGACUGAAGCUUUAAUUAACAGAAGCAAGCAUCUGCCAAUUUAUUGAAGGAAGAACACCACGCCUGAAACACAGCAGGCCUAUCAACUUAAUCCAGACAUAUAAAUCUGUGGUCACACCAGCACCAUCACACCUAAAAACUUAGGAAAAGUCUGUAGUCCAUGUCACAAUUAUAAAUACUAUGUUUUCACCUUAAAUUAUCAUAAAAGAGAAAUAAAAAUACAAGAGUAAUAUAAUGCAGACCAAUGCACAACACAUCAUGUGAAGAUUUCCAAAGAUAAGCAAUCAGAUCAGUUCAGUUGCACGCAACAUGUUCAUACAACUACUUCCACAAACAGUUCAAGUAGGCUUUCAUAAACUCACUUGCACCAAUCCAUCCCUUGCGAGUAAACAGCAACCGCUAUCCAAUCACUUAUCCAGAAUGACCCAAAGCACCAAACUGAACAUAACUCUAUGACGACACUGUUCUGAAAUAUUUUCCUUCUUCAAGCUAAUUAAUAAAUUAAUAAAUUCACCCAAACUAAAUUAUCUUCUUAGCUGCUUUAAUGGAGCAUAGUAAGCACUUGUCGUUGCUGUCUGGACCCUUUUUUAGGCAGUGAUGCAUGCGCAUUUCACACGAUAGCUUGCAUAACAUGCUCAGCUUGCUUAACCCAGGGAUAUAAUGACCACCAUGGUGGGCCCUGAGUAAUAGAAUAAUUGUACGAUCCCAUGUGUUAGUAACCUGAUCUGCAACCCAAACGCACAAAUAGACAUGCAAGGAGAAGCAGAAUGACACCUACCAAUAGAUACGAUGGUGUGUUAUAGAAUUUAAAGGCAAAAGAACCAAAUGGAUUCAUCUCAAGCAAGGCAGCAGGAAUGCAACUAACCCUCGCGUCUUUCUUGCAGCACGAAGAGAACUUUAGAGAAGCAAAGUAAAUGCAAAAUAGGGACUCGGUGGGCUAAAUCUGACAGAUGGCAUCAACCAAGAUAUUAAGAGGAGCUAACAUGUUAUUAGCCUCCUUGCAACUGUUCAGAGAUCACCGUCAUACUGCACUUGCUUAGCUGAACGAUCCUCCCACCUGCCAUAAGGGGAGCUUACCAAAGUAAGCUGACUAAAAAUUAAGAAACAAGAACAAGCGGAACAUCGCAAGGCAAAACACUCAAAGCACCAACCUGCUCAUUGUCGCUUGAGCCCCAGUGCACUGUCACAAACAUAGGCGGUUCUAGAGAAGAAGAAGAAAUAACAUUGUAAGAAUCGUGAGGGGCCGGCUCGAGGUGUGUGGUGAGGUCGGAUCAGGGUACCUGAGGUGUCCUGCACUUGCUUCAUCAGACCCUGGGAUUCCAUGGAACAAUCGUAUCAAAACAAGUAAACCAGGUCGG